AUAUGAAUCUCUUGGGAGUCUUGUUAAAAUUAAUUUCUAAUUCAGUGGAUCUGGAGUAGGACCUGAGAUUUCACAUUUCUAAUAAGCUCCCAUGUGAUACCACU
rnacentral:pre_miRNA from 1 species